UGACUUUCUGCUUUUCCUUAGUUAGGUCAUGAGACCAAUCACAGAAAUUAUUUAUUUAUACAUUUUCAAAAUGUCUUUUCCUCUCCUACCCUUCUUCAUGCUAUUUCAAAAAUUACACCACUGGAUAAAUUUAAAUGUUCUUCCUGUUUUGCAUCUAAACCCAGCAGUGAACUAUCACUAGAGAAAAACACCUGACUUCAGGGAACACCUGGUCUCAGAUAAAUUCAUGACCACAGACCUCAAGUAGGUGCUGAGCACAGCCCCACCAUCCUCUUUCUACCCCCAUCCUCCACUCCCAAACUUGACUAUUUCAUAAUGGCUCCAUGGUCAAAGUUUGAUACCCAUGCCUCAGCUGAUAGUCUUGCCUCCUAUUUCACUGAGGAAAUGGAUGCUGUCAUAAAACAAAAUACUUCAUUUUAUCACUAACAAUUCUACCUAAUUAUCAUUAUCUAUGCCCAUGAACUCCAUUUUCCACCUGUUACAACUGAUGAACUUUAUUGCUAUGGCCAAAACUUCCAAUGAUACACUGGAUCUCAUCCCUUUUUUGGUCAACUCAAGAACUUUAUUCCUACAGUUAUCCAUCUUUCCUAAAACAUAUAUCUCUAUAUCUGUAGGAUUAGUUUGCUUUUACAGACCAUGUCUUUGUGUUGGACAUGUCAAUUUAAUAUGCCUGCCAUAUCCCAAUUCCAUUUAACAUAAUUUGUCUUCUUCGAACUCUUAAAAGAGAUAUGCAACA
rnacentral:lncRNA from 10 species